rnacentral:lncRNA from 1 species
CAAGAGAUAAGCGCACAUAACUAAGAACAAGAAUCAAAUAUUUAUCGCAUAAAACAGAAAUUAAAUAAUAGAAUUCAUCAUAGGGUUCAUCCUCCCUAGGUAUCUAGGGAAUUAGUUCAUAAUUGUGAAUAAAAACAUCUCAAAGUCAGAAUAAUCAUAAGAAAUAAAGAAACUCAUAAAAACUUCAAGAGAAAUUAAAAGGAGGUCUUUAGUCUUGAUUGGAAAUUCGCUUCAGUGUUGGCUCCCAUAGAGUUCUUCGAGUUGUUUUCUUCGAUAUUCUCUGAUGACUCCCUAUUCUCUUAUUCUAUUUGAUAUUUAUAUUCUUUAGAAUGCCUAGAAAGCCUAAAAAUUACAAUUUUCCGCGUGUUUGGGAUGCAAGUCGCGAAAUUGACACGGUCUGGCACAUCUGAAUGGCUCACACGGCCAUGUGUCCAACCCAUGUGGGAAAGCCCAGGUUGUGUGGCUCUUGAAAUAAGCUUUAUUUGUCCAAUUUUCGCUUGUUUUUCGCUUAUUUUGCUUCCAAAUGCUCUCCUAAGUAUAGAAACAUGAAUUCAAAGGAUUAUGAGCAUAAAAUUCACCAAUUUGAGUAAAUAAUCAUCCAAAAACACAUUAAGAAUAUUUUACUUUUAUCACUUAUUAGCAAUGAUCCACUAUCUUUCUCAUAGUAUAACCAAUGAUUUAAGUCCUAACACUAGUCUAACACUUACCAAUUUAGUGACCUCACCGUUGUACAAAAACUAGAUCACUCUCCCACUAAGCUUCCCCCUCGAAAACUUAGUUUUGCAAUCCGAGAGACUAUCUUGAUCCCUCACAAAAACAAUGCACACAUAAAUAUUUCUAACAUGAACAAAUUUGUGCUCUCUUAAAGUUUUUUUUUCCCUAUCAGAUACCCUUAUUCUAAGCAAAACUUAAGUUUAUGUAGUACUUAAGUUUUGUUUACAUAAGAUUAUAUUUUAAUUGUUUUUCUAUAAAGUAAGGCUAAAAACCAGCAUAAUAUUAUACUUCAAUAAGAGUAUUGAUGUAAUAUAAUGUCCUAAACUAUAGAAUGUGACUUUACUUAUUCCGCAAGUAACCUGACUUAAUCUGUAAUAAACCAAUCUUCAAGUCUUCAAUUUUAACUCAAGUGGUCUUCAUGCGUUGGGUUUUACUCGUCCAAAUAUUUUCAUAAUAAUUAACCCAAUGCUUUUGUUCUACAAUUUGCUAACUCUUCAAAUAGGCAAGUAGGGCAAUGAAAUAGUGCCUAAGGUUGUGACAACUGUUUCAACCACAAAAACAACAAUAGAAUUAAUCUUGUCUUUAAAUAUGUCAACACUCUCCCCUUUUGGAAAUUUCUGAACAAAACAUAUACAAGAAAAAUAAAACAAUCAUAAUUACAUAUUAUUCCCCUAGGUAUCUCCCCCUUAAUCAAAGCAUCAGACAUUGAGGAAGCCAAAGAUAUCGAUGACAUGAGGACUAAUGAGUUAAUUCUAACACCUUAAACCCGACCUAAACAUUACGCACAGAUCUAAAAAAGUUACCAUGAUUCAAUUUGAAAAUCCAAAAAUUAGUUGGGCUUGUAGAAAUAGCACUAGCUUUUGAUAAAAGUAAUUUUGAUUUAUUUUAAAAGAAAAUAUCUUUCUUACUCAAUUCAUUAAUCUUGUCAAUUAAAUUUAUACCUUAAAAACACUUACGUUUGUAGUGAAACUCUUAGUUAAAUUCAAUUUUGAAAAUGUAGUUUGAUUUUGAAAAUCCAAUGUUUUGCUAAUAGACUAAUUAUAAUUUUAAAACGAUAAAACGGUUUAAAACAGAAAUUAAAAGUCCAAAUCUAAAUACAGUCUCAAAAGUUCAAAAUAAUCCAAUGAAACAAAAAUAGAUUAAUCUAGACAAAAUUUAAGGAAAUGUAAUGCAAAUAUGUAAAACCGAGCUCCGAUCACUCUGAUCUGUCCUAUGUCUGAGGGUUACCUAAGAAUCAAACAAAUAGAGAAUGAGCUUACAAGCUCAGUGUGGAACUUACUAUAAUUUAAACAGCAAAUACCAUUUCAGACAUGUGUUCUGGUACCAAUAAGACGAAUUUCAUAAACAAAAACAUAUGCAUAUCAGAUACAGAUUAAAUUCCUACCUCCAUCCGCUACACACCAUCUCUGACCAUCCCUUCAUACCAAUUAGGGUAUUAAAUACCCAACCAGCCCUACACACCAAUUAGUGUCUAUAUGACACUUUUCAGAGUACUUGCAGUUUAGUUGCCAGAUCAAUAAGCGAUAUACCCUCCAAAUACAGAUACACAUGGCUACACCAUCAAAUUAAACAGAUAAAUUAAACUGCCAGCAUUUCCUCCAUAAACAAAUUUCCCACCACAAUGCAUAUGCAAAACUAGACAGAUAUCACAUAGUGUAUGACAUACAUGUUUUUCAUAUCAUAUUCAUAUCAUACUUAGCAUAUAACAGAUCAUGCUAUCACAUAUAACAUACUACCUAUGUGUUUACUAGUCAUAUUAAACAGUAAUAGAGUAACAGAAAUCAUGGUUUAUAGGCAAAAUUAUACCAUGCAGACCCUACAAAAGGGCUAUAUUCAAUUCGCAUGGCAACUACAACCUCCGGGAAAAAUUUUAGAAUUUGGACCCACACGCCCGUGUGGCGUUGAUAGUCCAAUUUUUUGGUUUUCAGUAAUUUGCAAUUUUUAGGGUUUUCAUUACACGCUUGAUAUGAUUAUGAUGCAAAUGCAACCAUGAGACUUCUCAAACCUAGAAACGACAAUUAAAUCUCCAAUUGAGAUGAUUCCCAAACCAAAUUCACAAAAAUUGAUAUAUCCAACAUAAAGUUUAAACGAAGAAUUUCAACCUAAAACCCCAAAUUGACUCCUUAUCUUCAAGAAAUAGCAGCCCACCAACGAUUCUAGGUCACCGAAAAAUUAAUUGCCUCGCCAGCUUCACCUAGAAACUCAAACAAUUAAUCAUACGGAACAUUUUUAACCCACAACUAACAAAAAGAAUAAUAAAAACAAACUCACUUACUAUAGGGGAAAAUUUAAUGGUACUUGCACAAGUAAUUGAUAGAAUGAUUAAUGCUUCAAUGAUGAUUUUCUAUGGCACUUACAAGCAUAAAAUUCACCAUUUAAACCAAAUAAUCGUCCAAAAAUCACAUUAAGAAUGAGAUAAAACAUGCUACUUUUAGCGCUCAUCAAGGAGACUCAAGGUCAAGCAUCCAAUUUCUCCCACUCAUCUCAUAAGUCACCUCUUUGCUAUUUUGUAUGUAUACAAGUGUUUUGGGUCAUAUGGCAUGUACCUAGAUUAGUUAGCAUGUUUUUAAAUUAAUAUUUGAUACUUUUGACAUUAUAACCUAUAAAGUUUUAAAAGUUAAGUUUUAUCCUUUGAUUAGGGAUAAUCUUUGUAUGUUUAUAUAAGUUUGAAUGUGUUAGUUAAUAGGUUAAACCUUAAUGUAUUGGAUACUAUGUUUAUCUAUGUUUAUUUACGUACCAUUGCUCCGCCUAAGCUUUGGACAUCUAGUUUUUAUGCUCAUUCCAGAAAAGAAAAGACUCUCAUCGUUCUCAUUGAAAGUAUUGCAUUAUCUAAGAGAUAUAUUUCUUAAUAUUCGAGUGCCAUCAAUUUCAUCAAUGAUGAAAUAUCAUCAAAUAUGUAAACCACUUCAAAUAAAUAGCAAUGGCAAAAACCAACUUUUGUUCAACGGCCAAAUGCCAAAUUUUUUUAAUCUAUCAAAGCAGUUGUUUUUAUAAGAAAAAAACUUCUUUAUAUUUGAACUACCAAUAUUUGGUAACUACUUUUUAAUACCUUUAAUGGGUUUAGGUUCUAAACCAUUAUAGGUAGAUGAGAUCCGAUUCGAUUUAAUAUUUCCAAUUAAAAUAUAAUCUCAAAAAGAAAAUUCUAAUAAAAUUACAAACUUACCAAUUAUGAAUCUGAUUAUAAUACGAUGUAAAAAUAUAUGUGAAAAAUCGAUGUAGCUGAAUGUUUGAAGCCCAAGACCUAAAAUAAAAAAUGGAGUUCCUUACCAAUCUAAAUUUUACUCGAUAAAUCUAAUAUCAAUGAUCAAAAUCAACACUAAGAUAGAAUCUUUCACCAUCCUCAAAAAGAUAGGAAUAAAAUAAAUUAAUCAAAUAAUUCAUAAUUAAUCAUGAAUUAAAAUUAAAAUUAAAAUUAAUCUAGAUAUGAAAUAUUAAAAAAACAAACAAACAAACCUUCCUGCAAAUCUUGCCAUCCGGCAAUUUAAGAUCCCAGAGAAUAGAUCUGAUUUUCAAUCCUCAAAUGAAUAAAUUUGAUCAUAUAUCAAUAGGGUUUUAUAAAAUCUUUGUGCAUAAGGCAUCAAAGUGUUGGAGUAAUCAAGUGGUAUAAGGUGCUUGGAGCAUUAGAGGUUUUGGGUUUGAAUCUUCCCACCAGCAUUGGUUUCUUUCUCUUCUAUGCAACAGCAUCAUUUACAGAUUUCUUUACAUAAAAUAAUAAAAAUAUUUGAAUGCUUAAGGAAGGAGCUUUAAUUUUUAAUGCUUGGUUAUGGAACUUUUUUCAUAAUUUUCUUUGGGGCUAAGGAAAUAAUUAAGAAGAGGAAAAAGUUUGUUUGGGGACUAUGGAAAAUAACUAAGAAGAAAAAAGAGAGGAAAAGAGAACCAAUUUUUAUUCAUCAAUACAGAU